rnacentral:lncRNA from 10 species
UUUUGUAUUUUUAUAAAAAUACUAGAGAAGGGGUUUCACCAUUUUGGCCAGGCUGGUCUCGAACUCCUGACCUCAGGUGAUCCACCCACCUUGGCCUCCCAAAGUGCUGGGAUUACAGGCCUGAGCCACCGUGCCCAGCUAUUAUCUGAUUCUUUAUAGAAAAUGUUUGUCAGCUCUGUCCUUUUUCCAUUUCCUUCUCAUUCCUCUUUUUCCAGGAAGGAGUUGAGCUUCAGCGGAAGAAGUUUAUAAAACCUGCCUGAAUGCCCUAAAAACUCCCCAUUCUCUUCAUGUGCUCCUAAAUCCAAAAUGUCUUUCUUCAGAAGGCUGAAUCAGAUGUGAAGGCUCUCUUCGACACUCUAGACCAGUGCUGCCCAAUAGAACGUUGUGCAGUGAUGGGAAUGUUCUAGAAUUGCUGCUGUUCAGUGUGGUAGCCACUAGCCACAUGAGGGUAUUGUGCAUUUGAAAGGUGGCCAGUGUGACUGAGGAACUGAAUUUUCAAUUUCAUUUAAUUUUAAUUAACUUAAAUAGCCACAUCUGUCUAGAAGCUAGUUUAUUAGACAACAUUACUUGUUCAGAGAACCUGAACAAGUGUCAGACUAAUUCAAGAGGGAAGUAAGAGAAAUUUUGGUGGUCAGCAAUCUGAGUUCCUACAGAGAACCCUGAUUUUUAUACUGACUAGUUUUUAAGUUUGAUUUGCUUAUUUUGAUUCUAAUCAGCUUAGCAAACAUUUAUUGAGUACCUACUAUGUUCCAGACAUUCGCCCAACAUUUACAUAUUAAUGGUAGCAUAGGUUCCUGAUGUCAAGAGCUCUGAGUCUAGAAGUGAGAUAACAAAUUAGGCACUUAUUCUCCAAAGCAGGAGUAGUGUUUCCUCAAGUGCCACAGCUUUUCUUGUUCUUCUCUCUCUUUUUUGUUUUUUUUUGUAGAGCCGGGGUCUUUAUCUCAUGCUCAGGCUGGAGCGCAGUGGCUCCUUCUAGGCUCACUGCAUGCAAUCUCAACAUCUGGGGCUCAAGCUGUCCUCCCACUCAGGCUCCCAAGAAGCUGGGACCACAGGUGCGUACCACCACACCCGGCUAAUUUUGUUUAUGUUUUGUAGAGACAAGAUUUCACAUGUUGUCAAGACUGGCCUCAAACUCCUGGGCUCAAGCAAUGUUCCUGCCUUGGCCUUCCAAAGUGCUGGGAUUAUAGGCACAAACCACUGCACCCAGCCUAGUCCCACAACUUUCUUCUCAGUGGCUGUACUGUCUCUUCACAAUGGCGGUCUUACCCCUUGCUUGAACCUUCACUUUCUCAAUUCUGGAAACUUCUACAUUGCUCAGUGCUUCUUCCACAUCUUGUAGAUUCCUUAUGCUUGGCGUUGGAAACUUCUUCCUCUAACAGUGGAGAUUUUUCUUCAGAGAACCACUCCACCUGCCUGUUACUGGCUGAUACAUCUCUGACCAAAACAACUGUAUACAGGACUAAACCUCAGUUCUUCAGGGUCAGGGUAGGAAGUCAGAGGUAAGAGAUCCAUAAAUCUGUACUGCCCCCAAGCCACAAGCUGUCUCUUUGGAUUAGCAUAGAGUAGCAAAUGGCCAUGGGGCAUGUCCGUUGGGUCACCUGAGUCUUGUGGAACUGGAUUAGUGACAUAACUGUGUUAGGCCCUGCUGCAGACAGUGAUCUCUCUGGAAGGACAUGAGGUGGUGUGAGAAGUCACACAACUCAUUGUGAGACCACAGGGGCAGAUAACGCCUCAUCUGCCUUCAUCACAAUGCUUGAACCUUAAUCCUUUGAUGAUAGCUUUGCCACAUAACUUUUUUAAAUCUCUGGACAUUUUUCCAAACUCUGUUGAAUUUCAUUUUGCUGACUUCAUCUCAUCCUGUGUGUUCCAGCUGGAAAUCCACAGCUGGCUAUGUCUCACUCUCAACAUCUCCUACCAUGAUACUACAGGUCCUUGUGGUGAAGAACUGGAUUACAUGGUGGACUGUUCCUGAACAGAGACCUAUCUGGAAUGAAGAAGCAGAGAUCAUGCAAGGUGUUUCCAUCCAAAAGUAGGCAUCUCAUGUCAUCUGCUCUGGCCAGUAUUUAACCUUGAGAAAAGAAGAAGUGUAGAGAUGAUGUACUUGCCUGAGGGAUGGAUUAAAAAGUCUUUGGUCUUCUCUGAACGGUACUACUGAAUUUAUCCUCAUCACCGUCAUCAUUGUCAUUGUCAUCAUCAUCAUGAAAACAGACCAUGUACAAAUCCAAGCCUGCCAUAGAAGUUGUUACCCUACAUAGAGUCCAUGCCUGUUUGUCCAGAGUUUGGGAAAAGUCAGAGCACAA